rnacentral:rRNA from 1 species
CCUACGGGAGGCAGCAGUCGAGAAUCAUUCACAAUGGGGGAAACCCUGAUGGUGCGACGCCGCGUGGGGGAAUGAAGGUCUUCGGAUUGUAAACCCCUGUCAUGUGGGAGCAAAUUAAAAAGAUAGUACCACAAGAGGAAGAGACGGCUAACUCUGUGCCAGCAGCCGCGGUAAUACAGAGGUCUCAAGCGUUGUUCGGAAUCACUGGGCGUAAGGCGUGCGUAGGCUGUUUCGUAAGUCGUGUGUGAAAGGCGCGGGCUCAACCCGCGGACGGCACAUGAUACUGCGGGACUAGAGUAAUGGAGGGGGAACCGGAAUUCUCGGUGUAGCAGUGAAAUGCGUAGAUAUCGUGAGGAACACUCGUGGCGAAGGCGGGUUCCUGGACAUUAACUGACGCUGAGGCACGAAGGCCAGGGGAGCGAAAGGGAUUAGAUACCCCUGUAGUC